rnacentral:rRNA from 1 species
AACGAACGCUGGCGGCAUGCCUAACACAUGCAAGUCGAACGAAGGCUUCGGCCUUAGUGGCGCGCGGGUGCGUAACGCGUGGGAAUCUGCCCUUUGCUUCGGAAUAACAGUUAGAAAUGACUGCUAAUACCGGAUGAUGUCGCAAGACCAAAGAUUUAUCGGCAAAGGAUGAGCCCGCGUAGGAUUAGCUAGUUGGUGGGGUAAAGGCCUACCAAGGCGACGAUCCUUAGCUGGUCUGAGAGGAUGAUCAGCCACACUGGGACUGAGACACGGCCCAGACUCCUACGGGAGGCAGCAGUGGGGAAUAUUGGACAAUGGGCGAAAGCCUGAUCCAGCAAUGCCGCGUGAGUGAUGAAGGCCUUAGGGUUGUAAAGCUCUUUUACCCGGGAUGAUAAUGACAGUACCGGGAGAAUAAGCUCCGGCUAACUCCGUG